rnacentral:lncRNA from 1 species
UUCAACAAAUCAAACGAACAAAUGUCACACGAUUUGUUCCAAAAAAACAAAAAGAAACGAGAAAUUCAAAAUAAAAAAAGAGCAAAAUAAAAGCCUGGUAAGUCGAAAACUCGAAAACAGGUGACUUAGGUAAAAAUUAGGGAAUCCAGGUAGACUGUAAACUCAAAAAAAUCAGUCCAGACAAAAUUUAGGGAAAACAUAAAUCAAAAAAACAAAAAGCAUAGAAAUCAAAAGAAAAUUCCUCAACAAUAGAAAAUUCAUGCGACUACAAACCAAACAAAAGAUAGGUGACCGCCACUCCAGAAUCCUCAUUGGUUC